GUGAAACACCAGCUGUGGUGGCUAAGGGAUUGCUUGUGUCAACCACCCCCCCAACUCCAGGCAGCGCAGCUUUCAGCUCCAGGAAAAACUUCUUCCACUUGCAGAAAGGAGAGAGAACAAUACAGAGGACUUUGUCUUGCAACUUGGGUACCAGCUCAGUCACAGUAAAAUAAACCACAAAGCAGAUUCUUAAAGCCCCUGAUUCUAGGGCCCGGCUCCUGGACAGCAUUUCUAAACCUACUUGGGCCAGAUGGGAACCUGCUACUCUGAAGAUGUUACUACAAACAUUCAAACUGAUACCUACUGAGAAGCACUCUAGGCUAAGCAGUUUGGAAAUUCUACAUCCCCUGGAAUGCUUCAGUGCUUCUGAUGAAAGCCCUGACAUCUGGGAUUCCUGUUGUGAGGUCCUAGGUGAAUAGUCCUAACUGCAAGACUAAUACUGGACACACUCAGAGACAGAGUUCAUAAGGUCACCCUCACUUUUCCACAUCAGGUGGAAACAGAAAAAUGAAAUUAUUACCUUUCAAAA